rnacentral:rRNA from 1 species
GUUUACGGCCAUGCCACCCUGAACAAGCCCCAUGUCUGAUCUCGGAAGCUAAGCAGGGUCGGGUCUGGUUAGUACUUGUAUGGAAGACCACUUAGGAAGACCAGGUGCUGUAGGCA